rnacentral:tRNA from 1 species
UGGGGCGUGGCCAAGCGGUAAGGCGCGGGCCUUUGGAGCCCGUAUUCGAAGGUUCGAAUCCUUCCGCCCCAACCA